rnacentral:rRNA from 1 species
UACGUAGGGUGCGAGCGUUAAUCGGAAUUACUGGGCGUAAAGCGUGCGCAGGCGGUUGUGUAAGACAGUUGUGAAAUCCCCGGGCUCAACCUGGGAACUGCAUCUGUGACUGCAUAGCUAGAGUACGGUAGAGGGGGAUGGAAUUCCGCGUGUAGCAGUGAAAUGCGUAGAUAUGCGGAGGAACACCGAUGGCGAAGGCAAUCCCCUGGACCUGUACUGACGCUCAUGCACGAAAGCGUGGGGAGCAAACAGG